rnacentral:rRNA from 1 species
GACGAACGCUGGCGGCGUGCCUAAUACAUGCAAGUCGAACGCAGUGGGGACGGGUGAGUAACACGUGGGUAACCUCCCAUCAGAGGGGAUAACACUUGGCAACAGGGGCUAAACCGAUACUGAUGGAUGGACCCGCGGUGCAUGAGCUAGUUGGCGGGGUAACGGCUCACCACGGCCACGAUCCAUAGCCGACCUGAGAGGGUGACCGGCCACACGGGGACUGAGACACGGCCCAGACUCCUACGGGAGGCAGCAGUGGGGAAGCUUCGGCAAUGGACGAAAGUCUGACCGAGCAACGCCGCGGGAGUGAAGAAGGUUUUCGGAUCGUAAAACUCUGUUAGUAGAGAAGCGGUAUCUAACCAGAAAGCCACGGCUAACUACGUGCCAGCAGCCGCGGUAAUUC